rnacentral:lncRNA from 1 species
AAGAGAAUAGAAGGUACAGGAAGAGAAGAGAAGGGAAGAGAAUAGAAGGUACAGGAAGAGAAGAGAAGGGAAGAGAAUAGAAGGUACAGGAAGAGAAGAGAAGGGAAGAGAAUAGAAGGUACAGGAAGAGAAGAGAAGGGAAGAGAAGAGAAGGUACAGGAAGAGAAGAGAAGGGAAGAGAAUAGAAGGUACAGGAAGAGAAGGGAAGAGAAUAGAAGGUACAGGAAGAGAAGAGAAGGGAAGAGAAUUGAUCACAUUAUAGAACAGCCCCUCUGGACAUCCUGUUGUUUAUUUUACAACGUGAGACAGGGCUCUCUCUCUCUUUCCUCCUCUCUCUCUGUCCUCCUCUCUCUCUGCCCUCCUCUUUCUCUGUCCUCCUCUCUCUCUUUCCUCCUCCUGUCUCCCUCUCUCUCUCUGCCCUCAACUCUCUCUCUGUCCUCCUCUCUCUCUGUCCUCCUCUCUCUCUUUCCUCCUCCUGUCUCCCUCUCUCCUCUGUCCUCAACUCUCUCU